GGCGGCGCAGCCCGGGACAGCGGGGUGCACCAGAGGGGAUUUCUGCCCCCGCCCCCCCCGGGUAACAGAGUGGGAAACAGGGACAGAGAGACUGACUUGUCCAAAGUCAUACAACAAGUCCAUGGCAGAGCUACGAAUCCAACUGCUGAGCCGCAAGGAUUGGAUGUAAACCAACCUAGUCACAUCUGAGGCUUUCUGAGUCAGAGGCAACAUAAAAUGACACAUGGAAGCCUCUAUUGUUCCCAGGAAAGAACAUAUGUUUCUAUGAUCUUUCUGCAGCUACAGAGGAGAUGGGAAAACCGAGGCACACAGAAGUGAAAUGACUUAGCCCAAUACCACACAGUGAGUGAUAAGAAUAUAGGAGAUCCUGGAUCCUAUUCCUCUGUUCAGAUGACUAGGCAUGCCUCUGUCAUGAAUUAGUCAUGAGGCUGUGUAUUAUCUGUAUUUUAAAAUGUUAUGAAAAUUA